rnacentral:tRNA from 1 species
GGGUUCGUAGCUCAGCCAGGUAGAGUACCGGACUUUUAAUCCGGCCGUCGGGGGUCCGAUUCCCCCCGGACCCG